CCGAGAUGGGGCCACUGCACUCCAGCCUGGGCGACAGAGCAAGAUCCUGUCUCAAAAAUAAAUAAAUAAAUAAAUAACAUGAAAAUAUUUUUCCUUGAAAAUAUGACUGAAGAACAGAACACCUGAGUAAUCUAUUACCACUGACAAUCUAAUUCCAAACCUACCUACCCACCCACCCAAAAAAUCGCCAGGCAUGGUUGGUUUUACAGCAAGCUUUACCAAAAAUUGUAGAAAUGCAAAAUUCCAAUCUUAUACAAACUCUCGUAAUGAAAAUAAAGGGAAAACACUUUCCAACUUAUUUAUAUGAAGCUGGUAUAACCUUGAUACAAAACAAAGGGUGGGGGCAGUACGGAAAAGGAAAACCUUAAACCAUUUCACCUAUACACCUGGAUGCCAAAAUACCAGAGAACCAAAUCCGGCAGUAUAAUAACAAAUCCAUUGUGACUGUCUUCUUCCAGGAAUGCAAGGAUAUCUUAACGUGAGAGAAUGUUAUGAUACUCCACCACAUUUACAGAUUAGAAGAGGAAAACCAUGUGAUGUCAACAUUCAUCACUGUUAAACAAAAGCGAAGGAGAAAAAAAAAACAGUAAGAUGGAACAAAGAAAACAUCUUCAGUCUAAUGAAGAUCAUCUACCGGAAGCCCAGAGCAAGCGUCCUACCUCAGGACGCAACGUGAGAACCAUUCCCACUGAGAAAACAUCAAUCAAGGGUGCCAUGCAACCACGGUGGAGGUCCUGGCCUCUGAGAUUCACAAGAAAUAGACAUGAGUGUAAAGGAGGAGAUAAAACUGUCAUUAGUGGGAUACGAUUUGGCUAUCUAUAAAGCCACAAGAUCAACUGAAGAACUGCGCAUUCGACAAGGUGGGCAACACAAAGAUGGACACACAGGUGGAUGCCAGGGAUGGGGAAAGGUGAUUUCCACAGAUCCUUCACUACCAGUAACUAGGACUUUCAUAAAACUCCUAAGACUAAACCAAAUUGGAAGUAAAGGCCCA
rnacentral:lncRNA from 10 species